CUCCUCUUUGCUGUUCCCCUUUCUUUCCGUUGACUCUAGCACUGGGAAUGACUCUAGUCUGAAUUCCCUCUGUGUCCCAACAGGUGAAGAGAUGCUGAGUGAGAAUGAAGAGAAGAAUCUCCAGUAGGGAACCUCUAAGCAAGUGGAGCUCCAUGGGACGUUAUCAGGAAGUUUUAAAUGGAACGGUUCCUGGAGCGUUGACCAGGGAACAUCCCAUAAGAGUCAUUGCAGAUCAGAAAGACAUCAGAGAAACCAACUGUGAAAGGAAGUAAUUAAAUCUCUUAUUUGUGGGGAAAGGUACAAAGGCCUCAAGGAAACCACAGCCCAGCAGAGAAUCCACACACACGAGUGGAAAAAAACACAUGCACAACGCACAGCAAUGUGGAAAAAGAUUUAGUGACAACUUGCACCUUAUGGGACAUCAAAGAAUUCACAGAGGAGAGACCCUAUAAAUUCAUUAACUCUGGGAGUUAGUUUAGCAACAGAAGCAAACCUUCUUAUGCAUCGGAGAACCCACACACAGGAGAGAAGCCCUGCAAAUGACUUUACUGUGAGCCACCUUUUUUUCAGCGCUCACAUCUUAUUUCACAUCACAGAAUCCACACAGGAGAUAAACCAUUUGUAGGCCUGUGGGGAAAAUUUCAAUCGGAGGUCAAACCUAGUUUGAUAUCAGAGAGUCCAUACAGGCGAGACACCCUAUAAAUGCACUGAGUGUGGGAAGGAAUUUAGUGAUAAGUCACGCCAUAUGGGACAUCAGAGAACCCACACAGGAGAUAAACCCCAUAAAUACCUUGACAGUGGGAAAAGCUUUAGUGACAACUCACAACUUAUUACACAUCAAAGCGCACAAAUGGGUGAGAGUCCCUAUAAGUGCCUCGAUUGUGGGAAAAUAUUCCUUCAAAGCUACAAUCUCCUCAUGCACCAGCGAAUCCAUACAGGGGAAACACCCUAUAAAUGCCCCGAUUGUGGGAAAGGCUUCAAUCGAAGUGCAAACCUUACUAGACACUAGAGAAUCCACGUAGGAGAAAAAGUGCCUACCAGCCUCGACUCUGGGGAAAAGGUUAGUGAUAAGUCACAACUUACUACACAUCACAGAAGCCACUCAGAAGCGAAACCCUAUGUAUGCAAGGACUGUGGGAACAGUUUCAUUCAGAGCUCAGAUCUGAUUGUGCAUCAGAGAGUUCAUACCGGAGAAACACCCUAUAAAUGCCCCGACUGUGGGAAAUAUUUCACUCGGAGUUCAACCCUUACUAGACAUCAGAGAAUCCACAGAGGGGGGAGAAACACCCAUACAUGCCUGGACUGUGGGAAAAGUUUCAUUCAGAGGUCAGAUCUUCUUGUGCAUCAGAGAAUCCACAUGAGAGGGGGGAAAACAUAAAAGCCUCCACUUAUGAGCAAAAGUUUAGUAACAAGUCACGUCUUACCAGACACUGGAGAACCCAUAUUGGAGAAAGUUCUUAUUAAUCCUCGGACUGUGGGAAAAGUUUCCAUCAGAGUUCAGUUCAUAUUUCACAUCAAAGGAUCCACAUGUCAGAGCGACUGUGUACGUACUCCGAAUGUGUGAACUGCUUCAUUCACAGCUCACAGCUUUGUAUACAUCAGAUAGUCCAUGCAGGAGAGAGACCCUAUAAAUCAGUGGUUCUUAACCUUUCCAGACUACUAUACCCCUUUCAGGAGCUUGAUUUGUCUAGUUUCACCUCACUCAAAAAUGACUUGCUUACAAAAUCACACAUAAAAACACAUCCUCUCCCAAGGCCCCCUUCCCCCCCACCUGUGGGGUAUGAUUACACGGCAGUGUAGGUCUGAGCUCAUAUUCGUGCCAGCCCCCCCUUCCAUCUAUUCACAAGUUUGCCUGACUUAGGCCAGUAAACCCUUGGAACCUGGACCCUAGGACCCGAAAAGGGAGGUGAGCGUGUCGGAGCCCCAGUCCUGUUGGAACUUGGGGUUCAUUUUGCAGCGUGGACUUAGCUGGGGCCCGGGUCUUCAGACUCGUGUUCUGAGAGUCCACUAGUGCUACCCCACAAUCCCCUGGGUGUUUGUCCCUGCCGUUGUGUUCUGACCCCUGAGCUGCAAACAGAGAGAUCCAUCCCCUGCGUUAGCUACGGCUGCCGGUAAAAGGACGGCCUUUGCCCAGUGCGCUGGUCAUGGGACCAGCGUCAGCUUCUGAUCAAUCUGCAGUGUGAGGUGAGCCAGACAUUGGAGUCAGUGAGAGCAUCGGAAAUGACCAGGUGUACCAGAAAAUAGCGGGCAGCCUGACAGAGUUGGGGAUUAAACAGACCCAUGACCAGUGCAGGGAGCCAGGGCUGGCUUUAGGGGUCGGUGGGCUGGGCCGCUGUGCUUGGGGGGGGGGGUGUUGGUCCCUCCUUCCCAGCUGCCCUGCCGACAGCCAGCGGGCUUGGAGGCAGCCAGACAGGUGCAGCAGUGCCUGGAGAGGGGAGACAGACCAAGAUGCAGUGGGGGCGGCUGGUAACUCUUCCGAAGCAGGGGUGCCCCUCAUCCCCUGCUACCCUGCUCCACUGGGUCUGCAGCUGCUGCUGCUCCUGCUACCCUCAUCCCCACAGAGCCACCCCAGCCAAGCUCGGAACCUGGAGUCUGCCUCCUGUCUGCAGUGAGGGUAGGGGGCUCAGAUCUCAGGGUGUCCCCCUCCCCACGCUUGCGUACCCGGUAUCCACUGAGCUGGCAAUCAUGGGGAGCUUGUGUGUGCUGGUGACUCUGGGUGCCCAGUGGGUGCUGCCAGUGCUGCUGUUCUGGUUCCUGAAUGCUCUGCUUAAAGAGACGGUGCGCUGACACACUCACUUCGGCACACUCAUACUUCCCUGAUACACACACACACACACACAAUCUCACAGACACACAGUCUCUCAGACACUCCCCCAACAUACACACACAGUCUCUCUCACUCCCCCAGCACUCUCUCGCGCACACACAUGCAUAUUAUUGUUGUUAUUGUUACUUCUUGGUACUUCAAGGCACAUAUAUUCUUUGUAAUUUUAUUCUUCUCAAGUUUGUUAAGGAUCACAGUGCUGUUAUUUUCGAUUUUUUAACUGGUCUGUGCAUUUCAUCAUUUUAUUUCUCUCUUAUGCUUAAAUUUAAUUCUUUGAGUAGUGAGUUCUAAAAUGCCUAACCUGUCCUGGCUGGAGUAAUUCUCAUUAGUACUUUUAUUACCAUGUUGUGCAUUGUCAUUCAUUAUUUAAAGUGGUCCCAUCAAAUAAUAAUAUCCUUCUGGAAUGUAAAUUUAGCUUGUAAUCACCUGAGCAGUGCCGGUUCAAAAAAAAUUAGCUAAACACAUAAUUGCAGAUACUGUGUAGAUGAAGGUCGCUUAUUUUCAAAUGGCAUUUUUAGUUAGAUCUGUAAAAUAACUUCAAAUUAAUAGGAACAUAAAUGCGGUUCCAAGUCUGAUGCUAACAGUAAUGAUGGAGUCAAACGUUAGUGAGUCACGUACGUGAUUGUGAUCGGUAAACAUAAAUGCCAAAAUAAUUAGAAAACUAAAUUCCUGUUCUUAAUAAAAGAGGGGGAAAAAAUCUUACUCACAUAUGUUAAAAUGAAGUAAAUAAGUUUUGAGUGGAGUAUAAAACAAUUGACUAAAAUAGUCGAUAAUGGCAGUAACACAGUGUGUCUGUUAGACAAAGCAAGCAGAUUUUAAGCAGAUUUUAUUGAUUUUUAUUUCUGUCUCCUAAAGAUAGUCUGGAAAAUAUCACACUUGUGUUUCUGAUACCUGUAUUAAAGCUCCAGAACAGAUCCCUCAAGGCUUGGGAUUGGAAAUAUCUUGCGGUAUUGUCUCCUGAUUGUUCUAAACUUUCAUAUAAACUGAAAAUGUGGCUUUAA